AUUGAACGCUGGCGGCAGGCCUAACACAUGCAAGUCGAGCGGAGCGGCGGACGGGUAAGUAAUGCCUAGGAAUCUGCCUGGUAGUGGGGGAUAACGUCCAGAAACGGGCGCUAAUCCCGCAUCCUAUCAGAUGAGCCUAGGUCGGAUUAGCGAGUGGGUGGGGUAAAGGCAUACCAAGGCGACGAUCCGUACCUGGUCUGAGAGGAUGAGCAGUCACACUGGAACUGAGACACGGUCCAGACUCCUACGGGAGGCAGCAGUGGGGAAUAUUGGACAAUGGGCGAAAGCCUGAUCCAGCCAUGCCGCGUGUGUGAAGAAGGUCUUAGGGUUGUAAAGCACUUUAAGUUGGGAGGCGUUACCAGCAGAAUAAGCACCGGCUAACUCCGUGCCAGCAGCCGCGGUAAUAC
rnacentral:rRNA from 1 species